rnacentral:rRNA from 1 species
GAUGAACGCUGGCGGCGUGCCUAAUACAUGCAAGUCGAGCGCAUGGAUAGAGAGCUUGCUCUUAUGAAGUUAGCGGCGGACGGGUGAGUAACACGUGGGUAACCUGCCCAUAAGACUGGGAUAACUACGGGAAACCGGGGUUAAUACCGGAGUACAGUUUGAACCGCAUGGUUCGAAAGUGAAAGGCGGCUUCGGCUGUCACUUAUGCAUGGAACCGCGUCGCAUGAGCGAGUUGGUGAGGUAACGGGUCACCAAGGCAACGAUGCGUAGCCGACCUGAGAGGGUGAUCGGCCACACUGGGACUGAGACACGGCCCAGACUCCUACGGGAGGCAGCAGUAGGGAAUCUUCCGCAAUGGACGAAAGUCUGACGGAGCAACGACGCGUAAGUGAUGAAGGCUUUCGGGUCGUAAAACUCUGUUGUUAGGGAAGAACAAGUGCUAGUUGAAUAAGCUGGCACCUUGACGGUACCUAACCAGAAAGCCACGGCUAACUACGUGCCAGCAGCCGCAGUAA